rnacentral:rRNA from 1 species
GACGGAGGGUGCAAGCGUUGUUCGGAUUGACUGGGCGUAAAGGGUGCGUAGGCGGCCGUGCAAGUCUGGCGUGAAAGCCCCGGGCUCAGCCCGGGAAGUGCGCUCGAAACUGCGCGGCUCGAGUGCCGGAGGGGAGAGUGGAAUUCCUGGUGUAGCGGUGAAAUGCGUAGAUAUCAGGAGGAAUACCGGUGGCGAAAGCGACUCUCUGGACGGCAACUGACGCUGAGGCACGAAAGCGUGGGGAGCAAACAGG